rfam:Planktothrix serta PCC 8927 isolate BBR_PRJEB10992 genome assembly, scaffold: BBR_A_PL8927_scaffold60
GUUGCAAUAACCAAUAAUCCCUAUCAGGGAUUGAAAC